rnacentral:rRNA from 1 species
CCUACGGGAGGCAGCAGUGAGGAAUAUUGGUCAAUGGGCGGAAGCCUGAACCAGCCAAGUAGCGUGCGGGAUGAAGGCCCUACGGGUCGUAAACCGCUUUUGCACGGGGAUAACACCCUCCACUUGUGGAGGUCUGCAUGUACCGUGCGAAUAAGGGCCGGCUAAUUCCGUGCCAGCAGUCGCGGUAAUACGGAAGGCCCGAGCGUUAUCCGGAUUCAUUGGGUUUAAAGGGAGCGUAGGCGGGCGUUCAAGUCAGCUGUAAAAGGGCGCGGCUCAACCGCGCCCCGCAGUUGAAACUGGGCGCCUUGAGUUCACAACAGGCAGGCGGAAUUCGUGGUGUAGCGGUGAAAUGCAUAGAUAUGACGAGGAACCCCGAUUGCGAAGGCAGCCUGCCGGGGUGCGACUGACGCUGAGGCUCGAAGGUGCGGGUAUCAAACAGGAUUAGAUACCCGAGUAGUC